rnacentral:misc_RNA from 1 species
GCUCAUCUUGCCCUGCAUUAGUUAAGGGAAACUGGCUAAGUUGGAUAAAUGACUUAAAGAAGGUCAUCAAGUUACAGCACAAAAAUCUUUUAUUGGUAGAACAAUAUGAAAAGUAAACCUUUCAAACUAGAGUGUACGUGCAUUCAUUAUCAAAAUCUUUGAUCUUAUUUGUUGCUAUUAUCAUUUUCAGGAGUUUCGGGGUUAAAACAUGGAAUUUCAUUUAAGACAAGAAGAUUCACAAGGCCAACACAUUAAGGUGUAAAAAUGAAAAUGAAAUGAUAUUGUAGGAAAAUCGCAUAUAAAACACUAUGAACUUCAUGACCUACACAUACAUAUACCAAGAGUGAGAAUAGUA